rnacentral:rRNA from 1 species
AGUGAACGCUGGCGGUAGGCCUAACACAUGCAAGUCGAACGGCAGCACAGUAAGAGCUUGCUCUUACGGGUGGCGAGUGGCGUACGGGUGAGGAAUACAUCGGAAUCUACUUUUUCGUGGGGGAUAACGUAGGGAAACUUACGCUAAUACCGCAUACGACCUACGGGUGAAAGCAGGGGAUCUUCGGACCUUGCGCGAUUGAAUGAGCCGAUGUCGGAUUAGCUAGUUGGUGGGGUAAAGGCCCACCAAGGCGACGAGCCGUAGCGGGUCCGAGAGGGUGGACGGGCACACUGGAAGUGAGGCACGGUCGACACUCCUACGGGAGGCAGCAGUGGGGAAUAUUAGGCGAUGGGGGCAAGCGUGAUCCAGCCAUACCGCGGGGGUGAAGACGGCCUUAGGGUUCGAAAGGCAUUUUGUUGGGAAAGAAGUGCAGCUGGUUAAUCCCCCGCUGAUUUGACGGGAACGAAAGGAUAAGCACCGGCUAACUUAGUU